rnacentral:rRNA from 1 species
GACGAACGCUGGCGGCGUGCUUAACACAUGCAAGUCGAACGGAAAGGCCCUGCUUUUGUGGGGUGUCAGAGUGGCGAACGGGUGAGUAACACGCGAGUAACCUGCCCUUGCCUUUGGGAUAACUUCAGGAAACUGGGGCUAAUACCGGAUAGGAGCUCCUGCUGCAUGGUGGGGGUUGGAAAGUUUCGGCGGUCUGGGAUGGAAUCCCGGCUUUUCAGCUUGUUGGUGGGGUAGUGUCUUACCAAGGCUUUGACGGGUAGCCGGCCUGAGAGGGUGACCGGCCACAGUGGGCCUGGGAUGCGGCCCAGACGCCUACGGGAGGCAGCGGUGGGGAAUAUUGCACAAUGGGCGGAGGCCUGAUGCAGCAACGCCGCGUGCGGGAUGACGGCUUUCGGGUUGUAAACCGCUUUCGCCUGUGACGAAGCGUGAUUGACGGUAAUGGGUAAAGAAGCACCGGCUAACUACGUG